CAGCCGCCGCGGUAAAACGUAGGGUGCAAGCGUUAAUCGGAAUUACUGGGCGUAAAGCGUGCGCAGGCGGUUAUAUAAGACAGAUGUGAAAUCCCCGGGCUCAACCUGGGAACUGCAUUUGUGACUGUAUAGCUAGAGUACGGCAGAGGGGGAUGGAAUUCCGCGUGUAGCAGUGAAAUGCGUAGAUAUGCGGAGGAACACCGAUGGCGAAGGCAAUCCCCUGGGCCUGUACUGACGCUCAUGCACGAAAGCGUGGGGAGCAAACAGGAUUAGAUACCCCCGUAGUCUCUGUCUCUUAUAA
rnacentral:rRNA from 1 species